rnacentral:lncRNA from 1 species
CGAGUUCAUCGGACUGGAGCUUCCUUGGGGAGGUGACAACAAAGGCGGCGGCGGAGUCGGCGGGGGAGAGGAGGAGAGUGAAGGAGAGAGCGAGGGAGGUGCAGAGAAGGAGAAGGGAGUUGGGAAUGGUGAGUUUGGGGAAGAGGGGUAUUAUUGGAAGUGUCGGUUUUGGGUUUGGGGGGCGAAGGAGGAAGAGGAUGGGAGUUUGGAGAUGGAGGGAUUUGGAGAGGUGAAUGGUGGUUGGUUUGGUGGUGUUUGAGGAAGAACGAGAGAGUGAAAAAGAAGAAGAAGAAGGAGAAGGGAA